rnacentral:rRNA from 1 species
AGAAAAUAGAUACCCAGGUAGUCCUGGCCCUAAACGAUGAAUGCUUGGUGUGGCGGGUAUCGAUCCCUGCCGUGCCGAAAGCUAACGCAUUAAGCAUUCCGCCUGGGGAGUACGGCCGCAAGGCUGAAACUCAAAGGAAUUGACGGGGGCCCGCACAAGCGGUGGAGCAUGUGGUUUAAUUCGACGCAACGCGAAGAACCUUACCCAGGCUUGAACUGCAGAUGACAUCCUACGAAAGUAGGCUUCCGCAAGGACAUCUGUAGAGGUGCUGCAUGGCUGUCGUCAGCUCGUGUCGUGAGAUGUUGGGUUUAAGUCCCGCAACGAGCGCAACCCUUGUCUUCUGUUGCCAUCGGGUUAUGCCGGGCACUCUGAAGAGACUGCCGGUGACAAACCGGAGGAAGGCGGGGAUGACGUCAAGUCAGCAUGGCCUUUAUGUCUGGGGCCACACACGUGCUACAAUGGCAGGUACAAACCGUCGCGAGACCGCAAGGUGGAGCUAAUCGGAUAAAGCCUGUCUCA